rnacentral:rRNA from 1 species
AUCGAACCCGGAGAUAGCUGGUUCUCCUCGAAAUAGCUUUAGGGCUAGCCUCAUGGAUCAUUGGUGGGGGUAGAGCACUGAAUGUGCGCGGGGGCCACAAAGCCUACCAAACGCUAUCAAACUUCGAAUACCAUACAAUGCAGACCAUGGGAGUCAGUCCGCGAGAGAUAAGUUCCGCGGGCAAAAGGGGAACACCCCAGAUCAACCGCUAAGGUCCCCAAGUUCACGUUAAGUGGAGAAGGAUGUGGAAUUGCACAGACAACCAGGAUGUUGGCUCAGAAGCAGCCACACAUUUAAAGAGUGCGUAAUAGCUCACUGGUCGAGUGAUUGUGCGCCGAAGAUGUCCGGGGCUAAACGUGACACCGAAGCGAUGGGUGCGUCUGAAGAAGAUGCGCGGUAGAGGAGCAAUGUGCAGAGGCAGAAGCCGUAUCGAGAGGCACGGUGGACACUGCACAAGAGAGAAUGCCGGUAUGAGUAGCGAGAGGCAUGCGAGAAACAUGCCCGUCGAAAGCCCAAGGUUUCCUGGGGAAGGUUCAUCCGCCCAGGGUAAGUCGGGGCCUAAGCCGAGGACGGAAGUCGUAGGCGAUGGACAGCAGGUGUAGAUUCCUGCACUACCGAUGGAAUGAAGCAGUGACACAGAAGGAUAACUCGAGCAGGGUGAUGGUCAACCCUGUGCAAGCAUCAAGGUUGGGUUGUAGUGAAGUACGCAACCCUAUAAGCUGAGGUGUGAUGCGGACCGAAAUUUCAGUAGGGAAGCGAGUGAGUUCACGCUGGCGAGAAAAGCUGCUAGUAUAUCCAAAGGUACCCGUACCGGAAACCGACGCAGGUGGGCGAGGAGAGAAUCCUGAGACGAACGGGAGAACCCUUGUUAAGGAACUCGGCAAAAUGACCCCGUAACUUCGGGAUAAGGGGUGCCUGCGAGAGCAGGCCGCAGAGAAUAGUCACAAGCGACUGUUUAGCAAAAACACAGGUAUCUGCGAAAGCGAGAGCUGACGUAUAGGUGCUGACACCUGCCCGGUGCUGGAAGGUUAAGGGAACAUGUUAGAGCAAUCGAAGCAUCGAACCGAAGCCCCAGUAAACGGCGGCCGUAACUAUAACGGUCCUAAGGUAGCGAAAUUCCUUGUCGGGUAAGUUCCGACCCGCACGAAUGGUGUAACGACUUGUGAGCUGUCUCAACAGGGGGCCCGGUGAAAUUGAAGUAUGGGUGAAGAUGCCCAUUACCCGCGACUGGACGGAAAGACCCCGUAGAGCUUUACUGCAGCCUGAUAUUGAGUUUCGGUAACUGAUGCACAGGAUAGGUGGGAGUCUGAGAGACAUGGGUUUCGGCUCAUGUGGAGACGGUGUUGGGAUACCACUCUUCGGUUACUGAAAUUCUAACAUAGCUCUGUGAAACCAGAGGAUGGACAGUGUCAGGUGGACAGUUUGACUGGGGCGGUCGCCUCCGAAAGAGUAACGGAGGCGCCCAAAGGUACCCUCAGAAUGGAUGGAAACCAUUCGAAGAGCGCAAAGGCAGAAGGGUGCCUGACUGCGAGAUUGACAAAUCGAGCAGAGACGAAAGUCGGGCUUAGUGAUCCGGCGGUAUUGAGUGGAAAAGCCGUCGCUUAACGGAUAAAAGCUACCUCGGGGAUAACAGGCUGAUCUCCCCCAAGAGUCCACAUCGACGGGGAGGUUUGGCACCUCGAUGUCGGCUCAUCGCAUCCUGGGGCUGUAUUCGGUCCCAAGGGUUUGGCUGUUCGCCAAUUAAAGCGGCACGCGAGCUGGGUUCAGAACGUCGUGAGACAGUUCGGUCCCUAUCCAUCGUGGGCGUAGGAGUCAUGAGAGGAGCUGUUCCUAGUACGAGAGGACCGGAAUGGACGCACCACUGGUGCAACUGUUGUCGUGCCAACGGCAUAGCAGGGAAGCGAAGUGCGGAUGGGAUAAACGCUGAAGGCAUCUAAGCGUGAAGCCCACCUCAAGAAUAAGACUCCACAUAGACCCCUGGAGGACUACCAGGUAGAUAGGUCAUCGGUGGAAGCGCUGUAAGGCGUGUAGCUUGAUGAUACUAAUCGGUCGAAAGCUUCAUUUA